AGGAAGUGAAUCUCUACAUCUACUUACACGUUGGAUUGUAUUAAAAGGCUCCUCAAAAUCUUGUUUUUUCUAAGUCUAAGUUAAAGGAAUUUCGACCACAGCACCCCUGCUAUCAUCAUAGAUAUACAUUACUCUACAAAGGAAUGUACUUAAUAUUUUUCGGUGGUCGAACAGAUAAUGAAAAUAACGAUUUUUUCCUUUCACAUCUACUACUAAAUAGUGCAACAUAGUUUCAUAUGCAAAGUAAAGAAUCUUCAUCCUAAUCAUAUCAACGGGGCACUUCGACACAGCGCAUCAGAACGAGAUUGUAUCUACUAACGUACACUAUGCUUCUAUUACUAUUUUCGCUAUUUCUGUUAGAAGGACUAGACAACAUUCGUUAUGAAUAUGAGCAACUUCUGCCUCCAUCACACGCUCCACGCGGACUCAAUACUACUGUGACGUUGUCUUCAGGACUUGCUUUCAAUUUGCCACAAGAUGAUGUAAUCAAGAGGAUUCAGGUCGGGGCUUUGUAGUUGCCA
rnacentral:lncRNA from 1 species